rnacentral:lncRNA from 1 species
UCUUUACAUUAAUCAUCAAGAAAAAAAAUACGUAAGACAUGGCUGUAUGGGCAUAGUUCCCUUUGCCUUACCCUUUGGGGAAAACCAAAACAAAUAACAAUAACUUCAACCCAAAUUCUGUCGCAUCUAUAAUAAAAUACAAUAAUUAACUUAAUUUUAUUGAAUAAAAAGCCCAAAACUGAUAAAUUCCUCACAAAGUAAACGGUCAAGAGAUGUUGAGACAAUCUAAACUUGUAACAUAAAGAGGAAUUUAUUUAUAUAUCCACUACUAUUACUUUGAGAUUAUUUUGUUGAAUACGAAAUGAGUUGAGAGCAUUUAGUUCUGACGAUCAAGAAGGAAUAUCACACAGGAUUCAUCAUCAUGCAAAUGUUGAGGUUAUGCUGCUCUACAUCAUACGUACUAAAGAAAUAAAUAAAAAGAAUUAACGAAAAUAACAUAAGUGUGAGAGUAGAAUCUGUGACGCCAACUAAAGUAAUACAUGAACAGUGUCUUCACCUAGAAUUAAUAAAUAAUGUACUAGUGGAAAUGAGACGUUGGUUUUUAUAAUUGGAAGUGGAAUUUUAUAAUUAUUUUCGAUUCAUCAUCAUCAUCAGCCCAUUAACGUUCCCACUGCUGGAGCACGGGCCUUCCCUACAGAGUGAUAGGGAGAUCGGGCAAUAAACCAUCACGCGGGCCCAGUGCAGAUUGAUGGUUAUUAUCAACUGCUAAUGCAGCCGGGACCAAUGGCUUAACAUGCCUUCCGAAGCACAGAGGAGCUCGAGAUGAAAACUUUUUUUUUUUGUGGUUCGAUUAUGUUGAAUAAAUUAAUCUUUAAUCUCAAA